GGGCAUGCCGGGGCGGAGCGGCAGGUGAACCGCGUCCCGUCCGGUCCCGUCGGGCCGCCGCUCACCGCAGCCGCGCCAGCAGCCGGGACCGGGCUGGGGGAGAGCCGUGCGGUGUGUGAACGGGCAGCGGUAGCACCCAGCAGCCGUGCCUCGACGAGAGCGAAGUGCUUCAGCGGGGGAUUGUCUUUCUUAUUUUCUUUUAGAAUAAUCUCGCGGAGUGAACGGGGCCACGAGGAAGGGGCCCAGGGCCUCGGCCGUCCCUGCACAGCGGCAACGGGAAAGCACGACUCGUGCUGAAGUGCGGUGCUGGGCCCCAGGACACACAGCGCGUAGAUUGCGCAGGGUGGAAAUAACAGUGGCACACAUUUGGUGCAGAUCAGAGAGGGGGAAGCUUCCCAAUGUCCUUUCCAAUUUUUUUUCUUUUAAAGAUACUUGAGGAAGGGAGUUUGGGUAAAGAGAAAAUGUCAUUCCCCUCGUGUUUUAUUUCCUCAUACAAGAAUAAAUAGGAGCAGCUUUCAGAAAUACCAGCCAAAGUGUGCUGACCUCAGGCCAGAAAGCCCCUUUCCUCCCCACCAGAGCUGGGAGGAAACAAGGCAGGUGUCAGGGGAGCCAGGAGAGCCUGAGCAACUAUGAAAUGAAUAACGAGAAAGUAUUUCACAUCCCAUUACAUAAGGAUUUACAUAAGGUUUUCCUAUGCCUAGGCUGAAAGCUUUUUGUUUCAGCUUUUUCUAAAAUUCUGUUUUAUUUUAGAGAUCUGAUUCACUGUGAGAGGAGAUGAGUGAAAAAACAAAGGCUAAGUUCUCUGCAAAUUGAGUAAGCAUCAGCUGAGCAACCACGGGCUGCACCUGUGUCUCCCUGUGUGCAGAGGGAAAAAGGCAAAUCAGAGGAAAAUAAAAAAAGAAGAGCUAGAGAAAACAGAAUGAAAUGCUGCAUGGGAACUGUUGAAUCAUGGCCUGAACCACUGAUUGAGCACCUGGGGGAAAAGACCUGGUCUGCCCUCGGAGCACAGGUGAAGGCAAUUCACUGUGUGACUGGAAGGGGUGGAGCCAGGCUUCACCUCUCUUAGACCUUAUUUAAGGGUUGACUGCCCCGAGGAAGGAUCUUUUUCUGGAGAUCCUCCUUCUGUGGAGUUUUCCCUGUGAACCUGGAUUCUCAGAGAAGGGAAACAGGGAUCCUGCAGGGCAGCAUUUGGGACUCCUGAAGUUGAAGGACAACCUGCAUCUUCCUGUGGAAAGAAAGAAGACAAGAAUACUGUGACAGAAGAGACUACAUGGAAGCAGGAUGAUGCUCCCCAUACUUUUCAAUUAUCUGAGUCAGAAGUUACAAGAAGAUGCCUCCAUAAAUAUGUAUGCCACUACUCCAGGUAUAAAAGCCUUGCUUAGUGGGUCCUUCAUUGAUGUGGGGAUUUGGAAUGGUUCUGUUUUGUCUUGGAUUGUUUCUGGGUGUCCUGCCAAGUGCCAGGCUCUGUGCCAAACAGCAUCUCUCAGGCUCUCUGCUCCCACCACUUCUUUCCGUGUACUUCUGCUGCAUGCCAUGUUCCCAUGCUGGUGCCACAGCUCCCUGGCCUGGCUGCCUUGGCAGGGCCUGCCCACCAUGCUCACUCCCCAGCCUUAGUAUGACAGACAGUACUACCCUGCCCCAGGUACUUCAUACACCGUCUGCUGGAAUUCCUCUGGCUGAUGCAGCUGGCAACAACUCAAACAGAUUAGCAGAUACAUGCACAGGAAGGAUAAGCUGAAUUUCUGCAGUGGACACAAUGUCAUAUAGCAAAAUGAAGUCCUUUUACCACUGGUUGCUGCUUGUUCCUCCGUACUGAUCACAAGCAGAAAAUAAGCAGGUAAAAAUGGCUUUUCCUGUUUUUCACCAUUUUAGUGGCUGGUCAGUGGGAGUAUGUAAAUGACAUCCUGACACUGGGCUUGAUGCUUCUCCCAGGACUUUCUCAGGUAGUGGCUGAAACUGGUUAUCCUUCCAAGGGAUCUACCACACACAUCCUCACAAUGCAAGAAAGCCAACAUCCUGUAGAGCACUCAGCUAAUGGGCAGGCACAGGACACCACUCAAGCCAGGUACCAGGAAAAAUGCUGUAGCACAACGUGAUAAGUUCUGUCUUGUUUAUUUUGGCUAAUAUGGCAGAAAAGUUGUCCUGCAUUGCUAUCCAAGGGAUUUACUGCACACGCACACACUUGUACUGCCAGAUGACCUGUUAGUGCACAGCACCAGCAGUAGUUAGAGGCACACACCUUACAGAUUAUGAGAGUUCUGACAGUUUACAUCAACAGCACUCUAGGUCAUGAGCUACAAGAAAGCUGAAAUACCUGAGGGCUUCACAAUACUUUAUGGAACACUGUGCAAGAAGGCUUUCACCUGCAGGAACAGUGCUUUUUCCUGGUGAGGAAAAAAGGUUUAGAAGAUUGCAGGGGUCUAAAAGAAUCUAAAAAUACAGCUGGAGUUUUGAAGUGUGUUUUGGCAGGAAGAAGGAGAUGAAAGAAGAGCACAUGAAGAAACUAAACAGAUUUUGACAAAGGAUGAAGAAAUAACUAUGGGGAAGAUCCUACAUCCUGACAUGACCUGUUGUAGGACUGGGAAUGGUGUUAAUAGGCAGGUAGAUGUGGUGCCUGGUGUUGCUCGCUGAUAUUUUUUGUCAACAUUACAUGCAACACAGCAGUUAGCUUUUACCAGAAUCCAGUAGAAAAUACAAGCUGCAUCAAGAAAAGACAGAGGACAGAAGGAGAGCUUUACUAGUAUGACAUUUUUCAAAUUACAAACAGGCUUCAGCUCAUUAUGUUUACGUCUAUGCAACUGGAACAGUCCUUACUCAUAUUCCUUCUCCUUCCAGCUUUGGGAAAACACAAGUUGUAGAUAUUUCCAAAGAAAUCUAGCUUUCACUUCCUAAAACGUCAUGGGCUGAAAGCAUGGAAGAGGUGAGGAAAGUAGUGAGGCAAACAAAGCAGGGUGAAAAUUGGCACUUCUGACUUAAAAUGCAUUUCAGAAGACUGAAAAAAUGUGCCUUCUGGCUUGUGCAGGCCAGACCUGGGUGUGUUCUUUCUCCGGCCAACAUCAGGGAGUGCAGGUGUGUUUGCGAGUUUCUCCUUGUCCUCGGGGCCACGGCUUGGAAAGGCACAGCUCAUAAACGCCCAUCCAUCUUUUUCCAGCCAACUUACUGCACGAUUCAGGCAUGUGUGUUCCCUAGUGGAUUUCCCAGCAGACAGAAACUAUAGGCAUGCUGAAGAGGCCAUGAAAAAUAGUAUCUGAUGAUUUCAACAGCGCUCUGCUGGGAAGAAAGAAAUCCAAUAAGGAAUCCUGCAGAGAUGACAAGGCUGCCACUAGGAUGGUUUCUCCCAUACAGGGAUAUACUUUUUUCAUUCUUCUUUUAUUUUAGAGGAGUGAAAUUACUGUUCAAAAUUCCUUUGCCUCCAUUACACACAAUUUUCAGAAAGCAGCAUUUCUCAUGAGAGACAAGGACUCACAAAUACCCUGAAGCAGAAUUGCAACAUUUACAUUUGUUUCCAGUUUUAAGCUCUCACCAGGGACUAGAAAUCAAAGUCUGUGCUGCGCCCCAGAAGUGUCUGCUUUUCACUGGUGAGUCAUGUGGUACUCUACAAGUCAGAUCCAGUGUGUUUUUAUUUCUAAUCGCAUGGAAAGUAAAACACAUCCUUGCUAUGGCUGGCAUCUAACAGACUCAGUAACAAAAUAAAGCACUCUUGAGAUUUUAUCACUGCUAAUGCAAUGGGGCACAGCUGUUCAGCAGCGUUCUGACUCUGCAAGAUGUCAUUGUCUUUUCGCAUGCAGUAAUGCAGUCAGAAAUGACAAGCAAAGGCACAUUUUUAAAGCACACAUAUGGCUUUAAAAUACAGAACGUGAAGAAGAAUAGCUUCUUGUGCUCAGGCACUAGGACACUAUGGAAAAUGGCAGAUAAUUUUUGUAUCUUAAAUUCCUGUUCCUUGGAAAGUGAUAGUCUGUUUUGCAAAAUCGCUUUUCCUAGAAGAUUACUGUUUCAUGAUAUAGCAGUCGCUAUUAAAAAUAAAUAUCUCCAGGUAAAUCACAACUAGCUACCACUGAUAUUUAUUUCACAGCUCUGUGAUUGGAGAAGAGAUGAAGCAAAUAGUGUUUUAGCACAAAAGACAGGAGAGCACACAGCUUGUUUCCAUUGCUCUGCAUCUAAUGCACAAGUGCCUGCGCAAAAUGUAUGGAGCUUCCCCAGACACUGAAUACUAUGAACCUGAAACAAAGCUACCCUGAGGAACCAGAAACUCUGGAAAACAAGCUUUGUCCAUUUGGAUUGAGAAGUUUCCAAUUUUAGGCUAAUCCUCAUCACAGGAGAAUUUGAACUGAUAGCAUCACUGCUUCUCUCUUUGGAACCUUAUAUAAUUGGAACACAUGUCUGAUAUUAAAGCAUUAUUAAAUAAUGAAUUUACUAUUUGUGAGAUGAGUCACUGGUCCAUACAUGGAAAAUGGGGUCAUUAAGGGAACAUAUUGCAACAGCUGUUAAAAUUAUUCUUAUAAUGCAAGAGACUACAGUUACAGCUAAGAUCUCAUGUAUGAAAAUUAUAAUUAUGCUUCAGAAAGGGUAAGAUGCAGCUUACAGAUAACAAUGCCUGUAAGGAUUACUGAGCAUAUUUAGUCUGACCUCCUGUAUUUUGCAGAUUGCAACUAUAGAUUCCUCUUCCCUUUGCAAUAAUCUACAGGAGCAUAGGUUUUCUUUCUCACACCUUGUUAAUUCUGCCAUUACCAAGCUGUCUAGCAAUAUCUAAUAAGCAAUAUAAAUUCACAGAUAAAUUAAAGGAGUAGAAUCAACUCAAAAGGAACUGAAAAGGGAUGUUCUUCAUUUCUCAGAGAAAGCAACUGUUACACUGCUAGUUCUUUUUUUGAAGUUGAGACCACAUUUGGACAUUUCCUCAGCUAUGGUGGGAAAAAAAAUGAAAGCAAUAAUCUGCCUUUUGUGGAUAAUAUGUUUGAUUCUGCAUUUACAGAAACUUAGCAAUUGUUAAGUCAGUUUGUUUAGAGAGAGUACUACCCUAACUAGCAAUGUAACAGGCUUGAAAGCUUCCUGAAAAUUCUGAAAAGGAGAUAUUAAUUCCCUAGCUUAGCUUUCUUUCAGUCUGCCAAGAAAUUCAUAAGCAAAGUUUCUAAAUAUGAUAUUCCUUCUCUAUCAAUUUGCAGUUUUAGAAAUCAAAAAUGGUAAUCAAAGGAAAAAACAGAGGUGCUACUGUAGCUGACACUCAGCAUGCCUUUGCUGUAGAAGUCAGUUUCUGUAUGUGUUGUUGAGGGUACAGUCAGCUGGCUGGUAGGUAGAAGAUCACUGUUGGGGAGAAAAAGGAUGUCUACUUAUUCACAUCAAGACAAAUACACGCUAUUCUGCAAAGCAGGUAAGCAGAUCUUGGCUAGCUGAAAUAAUCCAGCAAUGUAGAGUAACUUUGCUCUGCCACGUUUACAAGCUUUGUGCAUCUUCAGGAGAGGAAACUUUCUACACGCCAUGAAACCUGCUACUUCAGAUAUAACUGGCCAUAGCAACAUUUGCACUGUAGGUGUCUCUCAGCACUUCAGUCUUUCAAAAUAUAAAGAUUAAGUACCUUAACACUUCAGUAUAGGAAUAACAGAUGAUUCUGAGGUGCAAGAACUACACUAUACAGCAUGUAAUGGACAGUAAAAUAGUCUGCCCAUUUCCGCACAGAUAUUCCUCAGUAAAAUAAUCCAACUUCAGAGUUAGGGAUGUGAGGGUUUUUUUUUUAUUUAAUUAAUGUUAUGUCCCAUCAGAAGUUUAAGAAGCCAAGUCUAUCCAAUGCAUGGUUUUCUCUUACAAAAAGCAUUGUCACCAUGACCACACACCAGCACUCCAUUUAAGAAAAAAUACCUUGAGUUUUGUACUUCAAAAUGCAGGUAAGGGUCAGUGCAUUUUACCCUAUAUAAAGUUUAACUGGCCUCUUUUGUGUAAUGCAUUUGGAGCAGACACUAAUAAAAAUAGCAUGCAAGACACAAUGACUGAAAAUUACCUGGGCUGCUGCACCUGGCUCUCCCUUUUCUGUUUCAGUAAGAAGUGAGGGAGGAAGUAUUUUGUCUCAGACCUAAUUGACAAAGUAAAAUCUACUGCAGAGUGCUCUGUAAAACAAACCAGUUGACUAUUAAAAUAAUGUGGAUUCUUAUAGAGUGCUUUUCUCAUCUUUUUUUUAACAUGCAGAUGCCAUAGACCAGAUUCAUCCAGGAAGCGAGCUCUUUGAAUCGGAUUCCUUCUGCCUUAGGAGAUUUAGGGAUCCUAGACUACAUCAGAUGCUUCUAUUUUCAGCUUUCUUCUCGAGCUACGUGGCCAGACUGUGGCAGGUACUGACAGCUGUUUGUUCUGUGCACUGACUCAGAGGCUACUAUCUUUUUUUAGGCAGAUCUCCAUUUUCAGCCAUGCACCUGCAAAAUGCUAUGACAAAUUCUUGUAAAUUUGCUGUCCAAAGCUUUAAUGUAAUUCCCAAAGUAACCUCACAUCUUCACUGGGUAAGAAAAAUAGAUUUGUGUAAUUCUAUCACCACCAUUGUUCUCCCAACUGGUGCUGAAUCUAGCAACUUAUAUUUAUUGAGGAUAAAUAGUAGGAAUUUAAUGAAUAAAAGCAUGCACUGCAUUUCAUCAGGUAUCUUGUGCACAUGGACUUUCCUGCUUCAACUGAGCAGAGCCACCCAAUGCAAACAGUACAUCCCCUCCACCAACCUACACCACGUUGAACCAAAGUUGCAUCAGACCAAACAGAAGUGUCAAGCCCCUGUAACUGCAGAGACAAGGCAUGUUAUGACAAUAAAGAUUUCUCAAGUCUUAAUCAA